UUUACAGGCUGGACAUUGUCACCCGUACAGAGAUUAUCAUUGCUGUGAUAAUGAAGCUUGUGUUGCUUCUUUUUUUAGAGAAUUGCACAUUACCAGUACCACAACCCAACAAAUAACUCAUACAGCAAGUACCCUUCACACAGGAGGACAUAAUCAUGUACCUCUAAUUAAUUGUCCGUCUUGUCAGCACCACAUCUGUGACGUCAAGAACACCACCCAUUGUGAAGUUUGUCAAAUCAGAGUUACACACGAGGGGCUACCUCCA